rnacentral:lncRNA from 1 species
NNNNUACUAAUAAAAACUGUGCAAUUAUGGGCGACAUUAAGUUCCCAAAUAUCGAUGGGGGCUCAAACACUAGCAGCCAUAAUAGAGCUCAGAUGUUCCUAGAUGUGCUUGAUGAUCAAUUCCUUCAUCAAGUGGUAGCUGAACCGACGAAGGGGGGAGGCCAUUUUAGAUUUGAUUCUGGUGAGUAGUGAGGACCUCGUUGAGGAAGUGGUAGUAGGGGACAACUUGGGCUCCAGUGAUCAUGAGCUAAUUCGGUUUAAACUAAAUGGAAGGAGUAACAGAAUUAAGUCAAAGACUAGGGUUUAUAAUUUUAAAAAGGCCAAUUUUAACAAAUUAAGGGGACUGGUAAGGGAAGUGGAUUGGGCAAACGUAUUAAUGGAUCUAAAGGCAGAAGAAGCCUGGGAUUACUUUAAGUUAAAGAUACAUGAGCUGUCAGAGGCCUGUAUCCCCAAAAAGGGAAAAAGAUCACUAAGCAAGAGAUUUAGACCGAGCUGGAUGAGCGACCGAAUAAAAGGGGCGAUUAGGAAAAAACAGAAAGCGUACAAAGAGUGGAAGAGGGGAGGGAUCAGUAAGGAAACUUACCUUAGUGAAGUCAGAGAAUGUAGAGAUAGAGUGAGAAAAGCCAAAGGCCGUGUAGAGUUGGACCUAGCGAGGGGAAUUAAAAGCAAUAGUAAAAGGUUUUACAGUCAUAUAAAUAGGAAGAAAGCAAAGAAAGAAGAAGUGGGACCGCUGAAGACUAUAGCCGGAGAGGAGAUUAAAGAUAAUCUAGGCAUGGCGCAAUAUCUCAAUGAAUAUUUUGCAUCGGUGUUUAAUGAGGCCAAUGAAGGUAUUAGGGAUACUAGCACCAUUACAGAGGGGCAUACAGGAUGGGGGAUUACCGUAUCCGAGGUAGAAACAAAACUUGAACACCUUAAUGGGACUAAUUCGGGAGGACCGGAAGAUCUUCAUCCGAGAAUAUUGAAGGAAUUGGCACGGGAAAUAGCAGGCCCAUUAGCGAUAAUAUUUAAUGAAUCUGUAAACUCGGGGGUGGUCCCGUUAGACUGGAGAAUAGCUAACGUGGUUCCUAUUUUCAAGAAAGGGAAAAAAGGUGAUCCGGGUAACUACAGGCCUGUUAGUUUAACAUCUGUAGUGUGCAAGGUGCUGGAGAAAAUUCUGAAAGAGAAACUAGUUGAGGACCUAGAGGUUAAUGGCAAUUGCGAUAAAUUACAACAUGGUUUUACAAAGGGCAGAUCGUGCCAAACUAAUCUGAUCUACUUCUUUGAGAAAGUAACGGACUUAUUAGAUAAGGGAAAUGCGGUGGACCUAAUAUACCUGGAUUUCAGUAAAGCGUUUGACACUGUACCCCAUGAGGAAUUAUUGGUUAAACUGGAAAACAUGGGGAUCGAUGUGAAAAUCCAGAGGUGGNNNNNNNNNNNNNNNNNNNNNNNNNNNNNNNNNNNNNNNNNNNNNNNN